GACGAACGCUAGCGGCGUGCUUAACACAUGCAAGUCGAGCGGUAAGGCUCCUUCGGGAGUACACGAGCGGCGAACGGGUGAGUAACACGUGAGUAAUCUGCCCUUCACUUCGGGAUAACCACCGGAAACGGUGGCUAAUACCGAAUACGACCAGUCUUCGCAUGAGGUGCUGGUGGAAAGUCUUUUCGGUGAAGGAUGUGCUCGCGGCCUAUCAGCUUGUUGGUGGGGUAAUGGCCUACCAAGGCUUCGACGGGUAGCCGGCCUGAGAGGGUGACCGGCCACACUGGGACUGAGACACGGCCCAGACUCCUACGGGAGGCAGCAGUGGGGAAUAUUGGACAAUGGGCGAAAGCCUGAUCCAGCAACGCCGCGUGAGGGAUGACGGCCUUCGGGUUGUAAACCUCUUUCAGUACCGACGAAGCGCCCUGUCGGGUGGUGACGGUAGGUACAGAAGAAGGACCGGCCAACUACGUG
rnacentral:rRNA from 1 species